rnacentral:rRNA from 1 species
AGUGAACGCUGGCGGUAGGCCUAACACAUGCAAGUCGAACGGCAGCACAGGAGAGCUUGCUCUCUGGGUGGCGAGUGGCGGACGGGUGAGGAAUACAUCGGAAUCUACUCUUUCGUGGGGGAUAACGUAGGGAAACUUACGCUAAUACCGCAUACGACCUUCGGGUGAAAGCAGGGGACCUUCGGGCCUUGCGCGAUUGGAUGAGCCGAUGUCGGAUUAGCUAGUUGGCGGGGUAAAGGCCCACCAAGGCGACGAUCCGUAGCUGGUCUGAGAGGAUGAUCAGCCACACUGGAACUGAGACACGGUCCAGACUCCUACGGGAGGCAGCAGUGGGGAAUAUUGGACAAUGGGCGCAAGCCUGAUCCAGCCAUACCGCGUGGGUGAAGAAGGCCUUCGGGUUGUAAAGCCCUUUUGUUGGGAAAGAAAAGCACUUGGUUAAUACCCUUGUGUUCUGACGGUACCCAAAGAAUAAGCACCGGCUAACUUCGUGCCAGCAGCCGCGGUAA